CCACCGUGGCGACGAUGCGUAGGGGUUCUGAGAGGAAGGUCCCCCACACUGGUACUGAGACACGGACCAGACUCCUACGGGAGGCAGCAGUGAGGAAUAUUGGUCAAUGGGAGAGAUCCUGAACCAGCCAAGCCGCGUGAGGGAAGACGGCCCUAUGGGUUGUAAACCUCUUUUGUCGGAGAACAAAACCCGGGACGUGUCCCGGACUGCGUGUAUCCGAAGAAAAAGCAUCGGCUAACUCCGUGCCAGCAGCCGCGGUAAUACGGAGGAUGCGAGCGUUAUCCGGAUUUAUUGGGUUUAAAGGGUGCGUAGGCGGUCCGUUAAGUCAGCGGUAAAAUUGCGGGGCUCAACCCCGUCGAGCCGUUGAAACUGGCAGACUUGAGUUGGCGAGAAGUACGCGGAAUGCGCGGUGUAGCGGUGAAAUGCAUAGAUAUCGCGCAGAACUCCGAUUGCGAAGGCAGCGUACCGGCGCCAGACUGACGCUGAGGCACGAAAGCGUGGGGAUCGAACAGGAUUAGAUACCCUGGUAGUCCACGCAGUAAACGAUGAAUGCUGGUUGUCCGGGUCGAAUGAGACCUGG
rnacentral:rRNA from 1 species